rnacentral:tRNA from 1 species
GGCACUGUGGCCCAAAUACGGCAGAGGCGCACGACUCAAACUCGUGUUUGUCGGGGUUCGAGUCCCCGCAGUGCCACCA